rnacentral:lncRNA from 1 species
GUGUAUUGAACUCAAAAUGUGAAGAUGAAGUUCUAAGGUAUCUUAAAAGUGCAGAACGGCAGUCGCUUUUAUAGUGCAGAGAAAAAAUAAGAAUGACAAGGAAAUACCAUUGAAAUCAGUCUCCCUUUGGUUAAGGGAUUCUGAUUCCAAUGGGUAAAAAUUAGUUAAGGAAAGAAGUUUUUAAUUAAAACUUUUCAAAGUAGCACAAAAAGGGUAAAUACAUAGAAGUUAUUUAAGGAAAACAAUCAACAGUAAACGAUUUGUGCCAAAUAUGGCAAGGAAAUCAAUCAAACAGCCAUGAAACCAAAGUUACAAUUUCAAAUUGAAUGAACCAAGUCAAGAAAGGUAAAGGAGGUUCAAUCGAAGAAACAUCAAUGACAAUUUGUCAGCCUUAUUAAAAGGAUUUCAGAAUCAAUCACUUAUUAGUGUAAAUCUUUUUGAAAGGGGAAUUUUUCUCGUAUAUAAAUUACAUAGAUCAAACAAAAUGAAAUAUAUAACACUUUAAGCCUUAGAGUCACAAGCAAAAAGGAUUCAAGUACCGCUACAAACUCAUAGUGAGUCUGAAAGCCCAGGGUCCCAAAGUGGAACCCUAAUACCACUUGCCCAAGAAACUCCCAAAUCCUAGGAUUUCCAAUUGAGUCAGACAUAGAGGUAAGAAAGCAGGUCAUUGAAAGAGGCUCAGAAGUCUUCUCCAAGGAUUUAUGAGAGACAAACACACACACGAUAGAAAGAACAAUGAUUCAAGGUCAUGAGACCAUGUUUGAGAAAACUCGGAGUUGAAAUAAGUCCAGAAGAAAGAGAUGAUACAAGUUUUAAACAAAAGUAGAUAAAACAUGCUUAGAAGGAAUAUAAACAAAACUCAGUAAAGUGAACAAAAUCAAAGAACUCAAAC